rnacentral:rRNA from 1 species
AAAGUUGAAAAGAACUUUGAAGAGAGAGUUCAAAAGGGCGUGAAACCGCUUAGAAGAAAACGGACGGAGCCGUCAGGGGCCUUCGGGAAUCAGUCUAACCAUGCGCGAACGCGCCGCGGUUCAGAGCGCAAGUCUGGCCGCGGUGUUUUUUUUAGUAGCGUUUGUUAGGCGCAUUUCUCGAGGGUAAGCACUGCGACCGAUACGAAAGGCCGGCGAAGCGUUUAGAUUGAGGGCGAGUUGUCUCACGAUUUCUCGUAACCAGUCUUGACGUGUUUCUCUCGUUGGACCGCAGUAUGUAUCGAGAGCCAAAGUCACACACGUAUACGUCGGCGUAAACGCUCGCUCGAGUAAUGGAUAGUUGGUCAAUAGUAUUGGUAUUUGCUCGCAGAUAUCAGUCUAUUCGAUUCGGCUUUGAAAUUAUCGGCGACUCGAUGUAUAGGCGUCGGCAGUGUCAGUGUCGGCCACCCGUCCGACCCGUCUUGAAACACGGACCAAGGAGUCUAACAUAUGCGCGAGCUAAUGGGUGGAAAACCCAUAGGCGUAAUAAAAGUAAAGGCUGUUUCGGACAGCUAAGGUACGAUCCUUGUAUCCGAGCGAUAUUUGGCGCAGUACCGUCCCGUCCCGACCGCAUAUCGGUAGGGCGGAGAUAGAGUGCAUACGUUGGGACCCGAAAGAUGGUGAACUAUGCCUGAGCAGAGCGAAGCCAGAGGAAACUCUGGUGGAGGUUCGUAGCGGU